CCUGUGAAUUUAACUGUGCGCCUGUGUUUCUCAGAGCACCCGAGAAGAUGGAUGAUAGGCAGUGUUCUUUAUACACUGACAUCCUUUUAUAUGUUAGCAGUCUUGAAGUAAAGCAAGUGAUUGCAGUCUUGAAGUAAAGCAAGUGAUUGAGGUGGAGGUUUCAAAGCCUUUCACCUACUUGUGGUGGUUGGUUGCCACCUUUCUCCCACCCGCCAAAUAAAAAUUAAAUGACAGA
rnacentral:lncRNA from 1 species